rnacentral:rRNA from 1 species
UACAGAGGUCUCAAGCGUUGUUCGGAUUCAUUGGGCGUAAAGGGUGCGUAGGUGGCGGGGUAAGUCAGGUGUGAAAUCUCGAGGCUCAACCUUGAAACUGCACUUGAUACUGCCUUGCUCGAGUACUGGAGAGGAGAUUGGAAUUUACGGUGUAGCAGUGAAAUGCGUAGAUAUCGUAAGGAAGACCAGUGGCGAAGGCGAAUCUCUGGACAGUUACUGACACUGAGGCACGAAGGCCAGGGGAGCAAACGGG